CAUUGAAACAACGGUUUCCUUACGGUCACCGAAGUUAAACAAUGUCGAGCCUGGUUAGCACUUAGAUGGGUGACAUCUUGGGAAUACCUAGUGCU